AGAUUAAGUUAUUAAGGGCGCACGGUGGAUGCCUUGGCACUAGAAGCCGAUGAAGGACGUUACUAACGACGAUAUGCUUUGGGGAGCUGUAAGUAAGCUUUGAUCCAGAGAUUUCCGAAUGGGGAAACCCAGCAUGAGUUAUGUCAUGUUAUCGAUAUGUGAAUACAUAGCAUAUCAGAAGGCACACCCGGAGAACUGAAACAUCUUAGUACCCGGAGGAAGAGAAAGAAAAUUCGAUUCCCUUAGUAGCGGCGAGCGAAACGGGAAGAGCCCAAACCAACAAGCUUGCUUGUUGGGGUUGUAGGACACUCUAUACGGAGUUACAAAGGACGACAUUAGACGAAUCAUCUGGAAAGAUGAAUCAAAGAAGGUAAUAAUCCUGUAGUCGAAAAUGUUGUCUCUCUUGAGUGGAUCCUGAGUACGACGGAGCACGUGAAAUUCCGUCGGAAUCUGGGAGGACCAUCUCCUAAGGCUAAAUACUCUCUAGUGACCGAUAGUGAACCAGUACCGUGAGGGAAAGGUGAAAAGCACCCCGGAAGGGGAGUGAAAUAGAACCUGAAACCGUGUGCUUACAAGUAGUCAGAGCCCGUUAA
rnacentral:rRNA from 1 species